UCUGGUGGCCAUAGCGAGGUGGUCCCACGCCUUCCCAUCCCGAACAGGACCGUGAAACGCCUUAGCGCCGAUGAUAGUGUGGCAUUCGCCAUGUGAAAGUAGGACACCGCCAGACUCCCCUU
rnacentral:rRNA from 1 species